rnacentral:rRNA from 1 species
CACUGCCGAGAAAAGCCUCUAGAUAGAAAAUAGGUGCCCGUACCGCAAACCGACACAGGUAGUCAAGAUGAGAAUUCUAAGGUGAGCGAGCGAACUCUCGUUAAGGAACUCGGCAAAAUGACCCCGUAACUUCGGGAGAAGGGGUGCUCUUUAGGGUUAACGCCCAGAAGAGCCGCAGUGAAUAGGCCCAAGCGACUGUUUAUCAAAAACACAGGUCUCUGCUAAACCGUAAGGUGAUGUAUAGGGGCUGACGCCUGCCCGGUGCUGGAAGGUUAAGAGGAGUGGUUAGCUUCUGCGAAGCUACGAAUCGAAGCCCCAGUAAACGGCGGCCGUAACUAUAACGGUCCUAAGGUAGCGAAAUUCCUUGUCGGGUAAGUUCCGACCCGCACGAAAGGCGUAACGAUUUGGGCACUGUCUCAACGAGAGACUCGGUGAAAUCAUAGUACCUGUGAAGAUGCAGGUUACCCGCGACAGGACGGAAAGACCCCGUGGAGCUUUACUGUAGCCUGAUAUUGAAAUUCGGCACAGCUUGUACAGGAUAGGUAGGAGCCUUUGAAACGUGAGCGCUAGCUUACGUGGAGGCGCUGGUGGGAUACUACCCU